rnacentral:RNase_P_RNA from 1 species
CGAGCGGACCGGCGGUCGCGGCGCCCCUUCCGCGAGGAGGGCGGCGUCGAGGAAAGUCCGGGCUCCGCAGGGCAGGGUGCUCGCGAAGGCGAGUCGGGGUGACCCGAAGGAAAGUGCCACAGAAAGCAAACCGCCUGGGUCCGCCCAGGUAAGGGUGAAAGGGUGCGGUAAGAGCGCACCGGGCUCCCCGUGAGGGGGGUCGCACGGUAAACCCCACCCGGAGCAAGGCCAAACAGGGACGCUUCGGCCCCGUGCCGAUACGGGUGGCCCGCCCGGUCCCGGGUCGUGCCGCGAAGAUGAAUGACCGCCCCCCGAGGAGGGCAACCGACUCGGGUACAGAACCCGGCUUAUGGCCCGUCUCGGGCG